UAGACAGUUCUCUACCCUUCCCCCCAAAAUGGUUCCAAUAAGAGGAUCUGAAUGCAGGGUAACUAACAAGAGGAGGCCAGGUGAAGGCCAGUACCAGGAGUGGGGGCACCAGAGACUAGCCCCUGGGCCUGAAGGGGUGGGGCAGGGAUGGAGAGGGCUGGAGGAGUGGAGAUGGGGUCACCCGGUGGGAGCUGUGAUUGUGGGGGAGGAGUGUGACUACCCCGCCGCUUUCCCCCACCCCAUCCUGUCAGCACUGUCCACUGGCCAAUCCUCAUCCUAAUCUGGAGGCCAAGGGAGCCCAGGGGAUGUGGUCACAGCCAGAGCCUAGAGCCAGGUAGACAACAAUUGGGGGGGCCAGGUGGGGACAGGGAAGCACCAACUCCAUCCCUGCCUUAGAACCUUCCACCUUGUCAGACAGGGACCCCACGUCACCCCAGCAUCUCCUCAGAUCUCCUCUUGGCCUGUCCCCACCUGAUGCCUAACCCAGGACCCGGUUUCUUCCCCUCUCUUCUCUGCAGAGGUUUUCGAAGGCACCAGGCUCGCCCCUCAACAGGACCUGCCCUCCAUGAGGUUGUCUCUGCCCAAAUCUCCCCCUCAGCUGACUGCAGUCCUCCAGAGGCCAAGCAGAGAGCUGCUACCCGUGGGCCCCUUGGUUUCCUCCCCUCUCGAAGGGUCUCCUUCCCAUGGCCCCUGGGAGCCUGUCUUUCCUCUGGUUCUGUGACAGGCAGAAUCCCCAAACCUCAUCCCGCCCAGGUCACUGAGUGAUACAGGCAUGCGGAGGCCCCACGCUCUGCCCAGUUCAGUGUCUCCCAGGUCAGUGUGAGGCUUGACCUCCCCACACCAGGUGUCCCCUCCCCUGUCCCACAGCUGUGACUUCAGGAGCAAGAUGCACUCAGGUAGACCACACACUGUUCUGUGAGAAUGAAACCCAAGCCGCUUGCUAGGAGCCCCAUAUCUGUGUUUAUUUUACAUCAAAUACACAUGAUUCCCCGCUUUUGUGACCCCACCUGACCCCGUUCCUUCCGGGUCUGCUCUCCACCGGACCCGGGUUGCAUGCUUGAGUGUGGGCCUUGCCAACGGCCUCAGACUGGCUGAGCCUCUGCAGAUGACCCUCCCCUGGGCCCGACGUUGCCUUUGUACCUACUCGGGGUAGUGCUAGGCUGUCCCAAAUGGGCCACACCUGGGCCUCUCAAGUCCUAAAGUCAGCUGGCCUUGACCCUUCCAGCCACCUAAGUGCGGAGCUCCCAGGGUCAGGGCUGGCUGCCCCAGGCACCUGUGGGCUUGGCCCCUGAUGGGUGGGCCUCCCUUCACGCGGUGCUGGAGAGCAGGGGAGCCUGGUUCAGCCUUGACUCUCCCUCUAUCCCUCCCCUUUACUCCCUCCUGCAGCCAUGUUCCAGAAAGUGCUGUGUGCUUGACUGCUUGGGUCUCGUGAAUCUCACAGUCCUGCCAAGGCCUGGCCGCUGGCCCUCCCUGGCUGCCCCUUCCCGGGGGUUCUCAGGUCCUCAGCAACAUCCCUCACUCCCUCCGUGGCCAGCAGCCUGAUCCCUGCUUUUCCUCGGUUCUCAUCGGGGAUUCUUGAUCGGGUUCUAGAGGUUGGGAAGUCCAAGAUCAAGGCGUUGGCAGAUCCAUUGUCUGAGAGAGCCUCUCCCUGCCCCAGUCUCUCCCUCGGAUUUCUGCAUCUGCCCAGGCCCUGAGUCCAUCCUUGCCUCCUGCCUGGCAGUGCAGGGCAGCCUAGGGGAAAGGGCGGACAGGAGGAGCAGAGAUGACAAGCAGAAAGAAACAGCCAGGAGUGGGGUCUGGCCUGCAGACAGACGAGGCACGAGGGGUGAGAAAGACUCCCUCCUUGACCCAACUUGUUAUCUGAACCUCAUCUCAAUUAGGCCUUGAUUUUUUGGCUUCCAUGUCUGUCUUUGCAUCACCCAGUUUUAGCAAAAAUCCCAUCAAGUCGGUUUAGCCAGAAUCUCCACCCUCGAUAUUUGAUCACCCUCCAUAUCUGAUCGAAGUCUCCCCACACCAUCCCCAGGAGAGUUCUGGUCACCCUGGCCUGCCUUCAGCAAGAAUCCAGUAGGGUCUGUUUAACCAGAGUCCCCCAAACCCUACCCCUGAUGUUUCUCUUAGUGAUUUUCCAUCCGCUGACUUCCUCCCACCUGCUCCUUGGCUGUGAAUCCGCACUCGUCCUUGCCGUAUGUGGAAUUGAGUCCAGUUCUAUUCUGAAGUCUCUUUUCCCCUAUUGCAUUAGAUCUUAAAUAAAAUCUGCUUUAGCCACUUUAA